GAUCCAGUCGCCAAGUGGUAAGGCAAGGGUCUGCAAAACCCUUAUACGGCGGUUCGAUUCCGCCCUGGAUCU
rnacentral:tRNA from 1 species